AUAGGGGCGGGUUCUUGUCCCGCGGCCGUCAUGGCGGAGGCGGCUCUGGAGGCAGUUCGGAGGGCGUUGCAAGAGUUCCCGGCGGCGGCUCGCGACCUCAAUGUACCUCGUGUUGUGCCCUACCUGGAUGAGCCCCCAAGCCCACUCUGCUUCUACCGGGAUUGGGUGUGCCCCAACAGGCCCUGCAUUAUCCGAAAUGCUCUGCAGCACUGGCCAGCCCUCCAGAAGUGGUCCCUGUCCUACUUAAGAGCCACGGUGGGCUCCACGGAGGUGAGUGUGGCUGUGACUCCAGAUGGUUAUGCGGACGCGGUGCGAGGGGACCGCUUUGUGAUGCCUGCUGAACGCCGCCUGCCCAUAAGCCAUGUACUGGAUGUGUUGGAAGGUCGGGCCCAGCACCCAGGAGUCCUCUAUGUGCAGAAACAGUGUUCCAACCUGCCCACUGAGCUGCCCCAGCUUCUGUCUGACAUUGAGUCCCAUGUGCCCUGGGCCUCUGAGUCACUGGGGAAGAUGCCUGAUGCCGUGAACUUCUGGCUGGGUGAUGCAUCUGCAGUGACAUCCUUGCACAAGGACCACUAUGAGAAUCUGUACUGUGUAGUCUCUGGCGAGAAACACUUCUUGUUACAUCCACCCAGCGACCGGCCCUUCAUCCCUUACAGGAACGCUGUGCUGGUCAUGGUGAGAGUGCCUGACAGGCUGUUGGCCCCUUGUCUCCCUGACCUUGCCUUCAGAUCUCUACACACCAGCAACCUACCAGCUGACUGAAGAGGGCACUUUUAGGGUGGUGGACGAGGAAGCCAUGGAGAAGGUACCCUGGAUCCCACUGGACCCCUUGGCUCCAGACCUGACCCAGUACCCCAGUUACAGCCAGGCACAGGCCCUUCACUGCACAGUGCGGGCCGGCGAGAUGCUGUACCUGCCAGCUCUGUGGUUCCACCAUGUCCAGCAGUCCCACGGCUGUAUUGCUGUGAAUUUCUGGUAUGACAUGGAGUAUGACCUCAAGUACAGUUACUUUCAACUGAUGGACACCCUCACCAGGGCCACAGGCCUUGACUGAAGAGACCCUCAGACACUGCAAAGGACAGCGGGGAUCGACGGGGUCAUUUGAUUCUGGAGGCAGCCUAGAGUUCGAAUAUGUCCUGGCUGCUGCCCAGGUUCCCGCCUGUGUUGGGAUCAGGCAUUGCAGGAACUUGGAAUUUAGUUGGAGGUCCAAGAAAUGCCAGACAGGUCUGGGUGAACGUGCCCAGGAAAUUGCCACACAGGUGACAAGGAAGCACGGAUCAGGUACAGCAGUGCCUCUCACCAGUGCUAUGACCUUGGCAAACCUGCCCAGUCUACAUGCAGGCAAAGGUGCCAGAGACAUGCCUGCUCACUGUACGCGUCCUCCGGGCCAGUGGCUUGCCUUCCAAGGACCUAGUAACCUCCUCUGACUGCUAUGUGACUCUGAACCUGCCCACGGCUUCCAGCCACACGCUCCAGACACGCACAGUCAAGAACAGCCGAAACCCUGUCUGGAAUCAGAACUUCCACUUCCGGAUCCAUAGGCAGCUCAAGAAUGUUAUGGAACUGAAAGUCUUUGACCAUGACCUGGUGACCAGAGAUGACCCAGUAUUGUCAGUGCUGUUUGACGUGGGGACCCUGCAAAUUGGGACUCAGCGCCAGAGCUUCUCCUUGGGUACUCAGGAGAAAGGGUGCUUAGAAGUUGAGUUUCGGCUACAGACUCUGACAGACUGUGAGGAACAGCUCAUCAGCAAUGGCAUCGUGGUGGCCCGGGAACUCUCCUGCUUGCACGUUGAACUGAAGAGGACAGGAGAUCCAAAGAGGUCAGAGCGCAAAGUUCAACUUGUGGUUGCUGGGGCCUGUGAGGGCCCACAGGAUGCCUCUGCGGGCACUGGAUCUUUCCACUUCCAUUAUCCAGCCUGCUGGGAGCAAGAGCUGAAUGUUCAUCUGCAGGAUGACCCCCAUGAGCAGCUGAAGGUGCCACUACGAACUCUACCCUCCUCGCAGCUGGUGAGACUUGUCUUCCCCACGUCCCAGGAGCCACUGAUGAGGCUGGAACUCAAGAAGGAAGAAGGACCAAAGGAGCUGGCUGUGCGGCUGGGCUGUGGGCCCUGCCCUGAGGAACAGGCCUUCCUAAGCAAGAGGAAGCAGGUGGUGGCUGCCGCGCUGAAAAAGGCCUUACAGCUGGACCAAGACCUGCACGAGGAUGAGAUCCCCGUGAUUGCCGUGAUGGCCACUGGUGGUGGGAUCCGGGCCAUGACGUCUUUGUAUGGGCAGCUGGCCGGCCUGCAGGAGCUCGGCCUUCUCGACUGCAUCUCCUAUAUCACGGGGGCUUCAGGAUCCACCUGGGCACUGGCCAACCUCUAUGAGGACCCAGAGUGGUCGCAGAAGGACCUGGCAGGGCCCACUGAGGUGCUGAAGACACAGGUGACAAAGAGCAAGCUGGGUGCGUUGGCCCCUAGCCAACUUUGGCGGUACCGGCAAGAGCUGGCUGAGCGUGCUCGCCUGGGCCACCCAACCUGCUUCACCAACUUGUGGGCCCUCAUUAAUGAGGCCUUGCUGCACGACAAGCCCCAUGAACACAAACUCUCAGAUCAACGAGAGGCCCUGAGUCGAGGCCAGAACCCUCUGCCUAUCUAUUGUGCCCUCAACAGCAAGGAGCAGGGCCUGAGUACCUUUGACUUUGGGGAGUGGUGUGAGUUCUCUCCAUAUGAAGUCGGCUUCCCCAAGUAUGGAGCCUUCAUCUCCUCCGAGCUCUUUGGCUCGGAGUUCUUUAUGGGGCGGCUGGUGAAGCAGCUUCCCGAGUCCCGCAUCUGCUUCCUGGAAGGCAUCUGGAGCAAUCUGUUUGCGGCCAGCCUCCAAGACAGCUUGUACUGGUCCUCAGAACCCAGCCAGUUCUGGGACCGCUGGGCGCAGGAUCAGGCCAACCUGGACAAAGAGCAGGUCCCCCAUCUGAAGAUAGCAGAGCCACCGACAAUGGCUGGCAGGAUCGCCGAGCUCUUCACUGACCUCCUGACAAAGCGUCCCCUCGCCCACGCCACCCACAACUUCACGCGAGGCCUCCAUUUCCACAAGGACUAUUUCCAGAACUCUCACUUCUCUGCCUGGAAAGCUUCCAAACUGGACAGGCUCCCCAACCAGCUGACACCCACUGAGCCCCACCUCUGCCUCCUGGAUGUUGGCUAUCUCAUCAAUACUAGCUGCCCACCCCUCCUGCAGCCAACACGGGAUGUGGACCUCAUCUUGUCACUGGACUACAACCUCUACGGAGCCUUUCAGCAGCUGCAGCUUCUGAGCCGGUUCUGCCAGGAGCAGGGCAUCCCUUUCCCAUCCAUCUCACCCAGCCCCGAGGAGCAGCGGCAGCCUCAGGAGUGCCAUCUGUUCUGUGACCCAGCCCAGCCCGAAGCCCCGGCUGUGCUGCACUUCCCUUUGGUCAAUGACUCCUUCCAAGACUACUCUGCCCCUGGGGUGCCACGGACAUCGGAGGAGAAGGCAGCUGGGGAGGUGAAUCUGUCUUCUUCUGACUCCCCAUACCACUACACAAAAGUGACCUACAGCCAGGAAGAUGUGGACAAGCUGUUACGGCUGACGCAUUACAACAUCUGCAACAACCAGGAUCGGCUGCGGGAGGCCAUGCACCAGGCCGUGCAGCGGCGGAGAAAGCGCAAACAGUUUAGGCCGGAGUGACAGCUGAGCUACCCUGGCUGGGCUCCUGCCUGGGUCACUCUUGGUCUUUAACUCCUUUCCCCUUCUGCUCCGAGUUCAAGACCAGCAUCACCAACUGCUCCAGAGACUCUGGAAACUCUGAUGUCCAGGCACAGCUCCACAAAGGUGUGUCUGGGACUUCCACAAGUGACACUAACAUGUCAGCAGCCCUGUCACAGAGUCUAGGCUGGAAGCUGCAAGCAGAGGUGCUAUGGCCAUCAUCCAUGGAUGGACUUGGGGCUCGUUAGAGACGGGACACUGUGACACGGAACAUUUGACAUGUUACAGGGGUGCUUAUAAACGGGAGGUGCUUGUGGCACUGUCCCAAGAGUAUCUGCUGUACCAGGCUGUUACUUCCACUCUGAAAGCAGGUCCCUUCCCAAGAGGCCUCGAGCAUGGACGUUCCGGUCCUGUCACAGGUUGCCAUCUUUGCCCAGAGAUCUUGCAAUGAAGCCAUGGUUCAUCUCAGGCAUAGCCAGUGACUUGCGACAUCAGUUGCUUGUCCUCUGACAGGAGCUGUGUUCUGCACACUGGUCCUGAGCAGCCCUGGGGAGGGUACCUUUGGGUCAGUAGUCGAGUGGUUCCCAGGUGUGUCUCCACUGGUAGCCCCGAGGAUUGGUGUUGACUGAGGAUUCAUCUUAAGGUUUAGACCUGUAGGGAGAACAGAGAUUAGGAACCAACCACCCUCCCUAAACAUGGUGUCUAGUCCUCUCCAUACCUGAACAUCCCUCCUGCUCCUAGCUGAGGUGUGAGCAGGUACUAGAGGCUCUGAGAUGAGUAGGGUGUAACAACUUUGAUUCUCAUGAUCCAGCAAGCUCUGUCAGCCAGGCAAGUGUUUGUCCCAACACCAUUAGAAGCCACUAUGAGCUGGACCUGGUGGCAUAGGUCUCUAAUCCCAGCUACGCAGGAGACUAAGUCAGGAAGAGUACAAGUUCAAAGCCAGCCUGGGCUACAAGAGUGAGUUCAAGGCCACAAUUUAGCUGUCAAGUAAAAGAUAACUAAGGGGGGCUGGAGAGAUGGCUCAGUGGUUAAGAGCACUGGCUGCUAUUCCAGAGAUCCUGAGUACAAUUCCCAACAACCACAUGGUGGCUCACAACCAUCUGUAAUGGGAUCUGAUGCCACCUUCUGGUGUGCCUGAAGAUAGCAACAAUGUACUCACAUGCAUAAAAUAAAUCAAUCUUAAAAGGCUAAAUCUCAGGCUGGUGGGAUGGCUCAGCGGUUAAGAGUGCCAACUGCUCUUCCAAAGGUCCUGAGUUCAAAUCACAGCAACCACAUGGUGGCUCACAACCAUCUGUAAUGAAAUCUGAUGCCCUCUUCUAGAGUGUCUGAAGACGGCUACAGUGUACUUACAUAUAAUACAUAAAUAAAUAAAUAAAUAAAUAUUUUUUUAAAAAGUUAAA